GUAGCGGCUGAUAGUCAGUGUGAAUGCAGGGCUAACUCUGCACUGCCAUGAUAUGUAGUCUGAAUAUUGUGAAGUGGUAGAAUAUGUAGUGUAGCGGUGAAUGCUAGAUAUUACAUAGAAUACCAGUGCGAAGCAGACACUAACAAUAUAUUGACGCUGAUGGACGAACGCGUGGUAGCGACAGGAUUAGAUACACUGGUAGUCCACGCCGUAACGAUGGUUACUAGCUGUAUGGUACAAUUGAGUACUGAGUGGCCAAGCGAAAGUGAUAAGUAACCCACCUGGGGAGUACGUUCGCAAGAAUGAACUCAAAGGAAUUGACGGGGGCCCACACAAGCGGUGGAGCAUGUGGUUUAAUUCGAUGAUACGCGAGGAACCUUACCAGGGCUUAAAUGCAGAUGACAGGUUUAGAAAUAGAUUUUCUUCGGACAAUUGCAAGGUGUGCAUGGUGUCGUCAGCUCGUGCCGUGAGGUGUCAGGUUAAGUCCUAUAACGAGCGCAACCCCUAUUACUAGUUGCCAGCGAGUCAUGUCGGGGACUCUAGUGAGACUGCCGGUGCAAACCGUGAGGAAGGUGGGGAUGACGUCAAAUCAUCACGGCCCUUACGUCCUGGGCCACACACGUGCUACAAUGGUAGGGACAGAGAGCAGCCACUUCGCGAGAAGGAGCGAAUCUUCAAACCCUAUCUCAGUUCGGAUCGUAGUCUGCAACUGGACUACGUGAAGCUGGAAUCGCUAGUAAUCGCAUAUCAGCCAUGAUGCGGUGAAUACGUUCCCGGGCCUUGUACACACCGCCCGUCAAGCCAUGGAAGCUGGGGGUGCCUGAAGUCGGUGACCGUAAG
rnacentral:rRNA from 1 species